rnacentral:lncRNA from 1 species
CACAUCAAGACAAAGAGGAUUACAUAGAAAAAAAAGAUUACAUCAAAACAAAUCGAAUAAUCAUAGUGUGGAAGAACUUCUGGUAUUCAUUCUCAAGCUUUCCAUGAAACAUAUUNNNNNNNNNNNNNNNNNNNNCAUGAUUCGAUUAGAAUUAAUAGACUUGCUGAUUUGGAAAAGCUUCAUCUCGUAGUUAGCUUUUAAAUAUGGACCCAAAUGCCGAAGACACUUUAUAAUUACUAACAAUUUUUCUCGUUGUGUGUUUCUUAGUCCUUAGACUUAGUGUGUAUUUUGCUUUUUUGUUUGUCUUGUUUUUCUAUUUUUGUUGUUUUGUCUUUGUAUGUGUGCAGUAUGAGGUAAGCUCCCUUUAUUUUGAUUCGUCUCAUGGGGGUUAGUUUAGAAGCUUAUAGAGCAGCAAUCGGGAUGUUUAAUCUCCGUAAGUUAUUUGUCAUUGGAAUUGCUUUCUCUGGUCAUAGCUUUUUGUUUCUUGUUGGCGACUUCAUUAUGAUGUUGUUUAUUGCAUGUAUUUUAAUUAUUUUAUCUAAUGACGUUCAACUCAACCCGGGCCCAGUUCAAUUUUUUAAAAUAGGUCAGCUCAAUGCCAGAAGUCUGAAUUCAAGUGAUAAGUUUGAAGAAAUCUCUUUCUUAAUUAGAGAGAAUAAUUUUGAUAUUUUUGUGAUAACUGAAACAUGGCUCAAUGACCAUAUUUCUAGUGACUCUCUGGCUAUUUCCGGAUACAACACAAUUAUUCGUCUUGAUAGAGAGGGACGGGUAGGCGGAGGCGUUGCUAUUUAUACGUCCGAUUCACUUGUUGUAAAACGAAGGUCUGAUCUUGAAAUCGUAGGGUUUGAACUUCUUUGGAUAGAAUUUCGAUUAAAUCAGCACCACUUUUUAAAUCAGCACCACUUUGUAUGGCCGCCUAACAAUGAUCUUAAUUCAAUUAAUGUUUUUCUCAGUAAUUUUCAAAUAUCACCAGAUAAGAUACGUGACCUACCAAGAGAUUUCAAUUUAAUAAUUGUUGGUGACUUUAAUGCACAUUAUAAUGUUAAUUUCCCGCAGGAAAGUACUGGUAUAGGGACCCAGUUUCACAGUUUCCUAGAGGGAAAUAAUCUCACGCAAUUGAUUACAGAACCAACUCGAGUCACGAGCCAUUGUUCCUCAAUUCUAGACCUUGUUAUUACAAAUUAUCCAGCCCUUUUUACCAAUACCGGAACUUUAAGUCCUCCAUCCAACUGUGAUCAUUCCGUGGUUUUUGCUAUGAUGAAUGUUCAAAGUUUCAAAUGCCAUUCUUACAAGCGAGAGGUCUGGAAUUUUAAUAAUGUUGAUUUCCCCGCUUUGAAUAGGGAACUCUUGCAAACUAAUUGGUAUUCUCUUUUUGACAGCGCUUUUGAUAUUGACUUUGUUUACAAUACUUGGUUUUCCUAUUUCCGUUCAAUAAUUGAGAAGCA